rnacentral:rRNA from 1 species
GAUGAACGCUGGCGGCGUGCCUAAUACAUGCAAGUCGAGCGAAUGGAUUAAGAGCUUGCUCUUAUGAAGUUAGCGGCGGACGGGUGAGUAACACGUGGGUAACCUGCCCAUAAGACUGGGAUAGCUCCGGGAAACCGGGGCUAAUACCGGAUAACAUUUUGAACCGCAUGGUUCGAAAUUGAAAGGCGGCUUCGGCUGUCACUUAUGGAUGGACCCGCGUCGCAGUAGCUAGUUGGUGAGGUAACGGCUCACCAAGGCAACGAUGCGUAGCCGGCCUGAGGGGGUGAUCGGCCACACUGGGACUGAGACACGGCCAAGACUCCGACGGGAGGCAGCAGUAGGGAAUCUUCCGCAAUGGACGAAAGUCUGACGGAGCAACGCCGCGUGAGUGAUGAAGGCUUUCGGGUCGUAAAACUCUGUUGUUAGGGAAGAACAAGUGCUAGUUGAAUAAGCUGGCACCUUGACGGUACCUAACCAGAAAGCCACGGCUAACUACGUGCCAGCCGCCGCCGUAA